CGGACGGGUGAGUAAUGUCUGGGAAACUGCCUGAUGGAGGGGGAUAACUACUGGAAACGGUAGCUAAUACCGCAUAACGUCGCAAGACCAAAGAGGGGAACCUUCGGGCCUCUUGCCAUCGGAUGUGCCCAGAUGGGAUUAGCUAGUAGGUGGGGUAAAGGCUCACCUAGGCGACGAUCCCUAGCUGGUCUGAGAGGAUGACCAGCCACACUGGAACUGAGACACGGUCCAG
rnacentral:rRNA from 1 species